CGCGUGCUCUGGUCCUCCUGGACCUUUCCUUCUGGGGAAACCCAUGGCCUUCACUGGCUGUGGGGGGAGACCAGGACUUUUACUGUGAAAAAAAUUAGAGUGUGCACAGCAGGCCUUUGCUCGGAUACAUUAGCACGGAAUAAUAGAAUAGGACGUGUGUUUCUAUUUUGUUGGUGUUUAGAACCCCCGUAUUGAUUUAUAGGGAUAGUCGGGGGGGUCAGUAUUUGGGUGUCAGAGGUGAGAUAUUUAGAUAUGCUGAAGACUAACUAUUGCGAAAGCGUUCUCCACGGAUGUGUUCUUUUAUCAGUGAACGAAAGUUAGGGGAUAGAAGACGAUCAGAGACCGUGGUAGUCUUAACCAUAAACUAUACCGAGUAGGGAUCGGACGGGCAACUUAUGAUAACCCCUUUGGCCCCCUACGAGAAAUCAAAGUUUUUGGGUUUUGGGGGGAGUAUGGUGGCAAGGGUGAAACUUAAAGAAAUUGACGGAAGGGCACCCCCCGGGGUGGAGCCCGCGGCUUAAUUUGACUCAACACGGGGAAACUCACCAGGUCCAGACAAAAUAAGGAUUGACAGAUUGAGAGCUCUUUCUUGAUCUUUUGGAUGGUGGUGCAUGGCCGUUCUUAGUUGGUGGAGUGAUUUGUCUGCUUAAUUGCGAUAACGAACGAGACCUUAACCUCCUAAAUAGUCCGCCCGACGUCUGUCGGUCGCUGGCUUCUUAGAGGGACUAUCGA
rnacentral:rRNA from 1 species